CGGCGGCGGCCACGACGGGAGUCCCAGCAGAGCGGAGUCCCGCGGAGCAGAGGCGCAUCCCGGCUUUCCGGUCCCAGGCGGCGUGGCCCGCGGGUCAUGGCCAAGGGAGAGGGCUCCGAGAGCGGCUCCGCGGCGGGGCUGCUGCCCACCGGCAUCCUCCAAGCCGCUGAACGGCCGGCCCAGGUGAAGAAGGAACCAAAGAAGAAACAACAGUUGUCCAUUUGCAACAAGCUUUGCUAUGCAGUUGGGGGGGCCCCCUACCAGGUGACGGGCUGUGCCCUGGGGUUCUUCCUGCAGAUCUACCUGUUGGAUGUGGCUCAGGUAGACCCUUUCUCUGCCUCCAUCAUCCUAUUUGUGGGCCGAGCUUGGGAUGCCUUCACAGACCCCCUCGUGGGCUUCUGCAUUAGCAAAUCUUCCUGGACCCGCCUGGGCCGCCUCAUGCCCUGGAUCAUCUUCUCCACACCCCUGGCCAUUAUUGCUUACUUCCUCAUCUGGUUCGUGCCUGACUUCCCACAGGGCCAGGCCCUGUGGUACCUGCUUUUCUAUUGCCUGUUUGAGACACUGGUCACGUGUUUCCACGUUCCCUACUCAGCUCUCACGAUGUUCAUCAGCACAGAGCAGAGUGAGCGGGAUUCUGCCACUGCGUAUCGAAUGACCGUGGAGGUACUGGGCACCGUGCUGGGCACAGCGAUCCAGGGGCAAAUCGUGGGCCAAGCGGAUACGCCUUGCCUCCAGGACCCCAAUGGUUCUGCACUGGCUUCGGAAGGUACCAAUCACACACAGAGCGCCACCUCACUCAAAGAAACGCAAAAUGCAUACCUGCUGGCGGCAGGAGUUAUUGCCUCCAUCUAUGUCAUCUGUGCUGUCAUCCUCACCCUGGGCGUGCGGGAGCAGAGAGAACCCUAUGAGACUCAGCAGGCUGAGCCGAUGUCCUUUUUUCGGGGCCUCCGACUGGUCAUGAGCCAUGGCCCAUAUGUCAAACUUAUUGCUGGCUUCCUCUUCACCUCCCUGGCUUUCAUGCUGGUGGAGGGGAACUUCGCCUUGUUUUGCACCUACACCUUGGGCUUCCGAAAUGAAUUCCAGAAUCUGCUCCUGGCCAUCAUGCUCUCGGCCACAUUCACCAUUCCCAUCUGGCAGUGGUUCCUAACCCGAUUUGGCAAGAAGACAGCAGUAUACAUUGGGAUUUCAUCAGCAGUGCCAUUUCUUAUCUUGGUGGCCUUCAUGAAGAGUAAUCUGAUUAUCACAUACGUGGUAGCCGUGGCAGCCGGCAUCAGUGUAGCAGCGGCCUUCUUACUACCCUGGUCCAUGCUGCCUGAUGUCAUUGACGACUUCCACUUGAAGCAGCCCCAGUCUCAUGGAACCGAGCCCAUCUUCUUCUCCUUCUACGUCUUCUUCACCAAGUUUGCCUCUGGAGUCUCAUUGGGCAUCUCCACCCUCAGUCUUGACUUUGCCGGGUACCAGACCCGUGGCUGCUCGCAGCCGGCACGUGUCAAGUUCACACUGAAGAUGCUGGUGACCAUAGCCCCCAUAGUCCUCAUCCUGCUAGGCCUGCUGCUCUUCAAGCUGUACCCCAUUGAUGAGGAGAAGCGGCGGCAGAACAAGAAGGACUUGCAGGCUCUGAGGGAAGAGGCCAGCAGCUCUGGCUGCUCUGACACAGACUCUACAGAGCUGGCCAGAAUCCUCUAGGGUCUGCUGUGUUGCCCGAAGCCACCAUCCACAGUGCCUGGGUCCCGGACCACAGAAGAAAUCAGGACCUACUUGCCUGAUCGCUGAAUACCUGGUCUCCAGGUGCCAGGAAGGGAGCCAAAGACUUCAAGACCACUUUGCCCUGACCCCUUCUGUGCCAAGACGCAGAUGGUGAGAGGGAACACUAAGCUGCAGGUGCCCCGGCGGGGAAGAAUGUGUCUGGAGGUGUGACAACAGCAUCGGCUAACAUUUACUAAACCCCUAUCUGUACCAGGCACGGUGUGGAGGCUUUACAUUCACUUUGUUGGUGUUCACACUCAAUCCUUGAAGCUGUCUUGCUAUGUCAGGACUAUUCCACUUUAAAGAGAAGAAAACUGAGCUCCAGUAUAGAGAAGGACGUGGCUAAGGUCACAUGGCCAAGAGUUACCGUACUGAAAUAUCAUCCCGGGUCUGUGAGACUCCGGGACCUUAACCACCACUCUCCACUCCCCUGUGUCUGAGAGCGACCUGCUGGCUGUCAGACAGACAGGCUGCUCUGCCCAGGCCUGUGCCCUGUGCCUUCUGCUCUGUGCCUGCCUGAGCAUGUGUAGCUGGCACAUAUCCUAUGUGCUUGGGGCUGUGUGGGGUCCCGAGACCUGUGAUUCUUUCCCCGUAGCUGUUAAUGAUGGUGUUGGAAAGUGAGACUGUAGCUGGCUGGGUUCGUGUGUCGGUUGAGGAAGGGUUCUCCCCAUAGGUGUGCUGGUAAAAAACCACCUCUGGUGGGGAGGAGGCUGCUGGGGAAGACCUGGUUUAUAGCGCUUGUCUGUUUCCAUGGUGUAAAUGCUCUUGCUGUAGCCAAUUUCAGGUUACCUACCAAUGGAUGUACUAACAGAAGUUCCCAAAAAUUUAACAGUCAGCUCUCUAGGAGCUUGCCCCCCAGCACAUCACUGGGUCUCAUACACUUAGGCCAAGCUGGCAGGAUCAGGGGUACCGGUCCAGCUUCUCUAUUUUAUAGAUGGAUAAAUGCAGGCCAGAGAAGAGAAGUGUGUGCUCUAUUCAGGCUUGGUUUUUACUUUGGGUCUAGGGCUCCAUUUUCGGAGGGAGCAGGGGAGGCUCCAUUUUUGCUCUGAAGUUCUGCCAAGCCACUUUCAUAAAUUUAUCAAGUGUUACUAACAGGCACAACCAGAUGCAUAAUUUCUCUGUGAGGUGAGUCCAUUAUUAUUCCCAGUUUACGGAUAAGGAAGCUGAGGCACAGAAAAGUAACUUGUCCGAGGUCAUCAGACAGAGGAGACGAUGUUUGAAUCCAUUCUGUCUGGCUAUAAGGCCAGUGCUCUCACCCACUACUUUAGGCCAUUGUGUGAACCAAGAGUCUAGUCACCGCCAAGCCAGGUCCUGCUGCCUUUAGAGCUGCCAUCUCAGGGUCAGGCUUCCUGGGCAGGCCAGGGGCCCUGGGCUCUGGGUUGGCCUUUGUAGUUGGAGUGCUCAGGGACUCAGAUAAUGUUUGCAGAAACCCACUCCUACCUCCCCUCUCCCUGUACUCCCAACACCCACCAAAUCCUGUCUUUAAAAAAAUAAAAAUUAUUUUAAACUUCCUAAACCACUCAAGCUUGCUUCUUUCCCA